AUUGAACACUGGCGGAAUGCUUUACACAUGCAAGUCGAACGGCAGCACGGGGGCAACCCUGGUGGCGAGUGGCGAACGGGUGAGUAAUACAUCGGAACGUGCCCAGUCGUGGGGGAUAACUACGCGAAAGCGUAGCUAAUACCGCAUACGAACUCAGGUUGAAAGCGGGGGAUCGCAAGACCCCGCGCGAUUGGAGCGGCCGAUGGCAGAUUAGGUAGUUGGUGGGGUAAAGGCUCACCAAGCCGACGAUCUGUAGCUGGUCUGAGAGGACGACCAGCCACACUGGGACUGAGACACGGCCCAGACUCCUACGGGAGGCAGCAGUGGGGAAUUUUGGACAAUGGGCGCAAGCCUGAUCCAGCCAUUCCGCGCGCAGGAUGAAGGCCCUCGGGUUGUAAACUGCUUUUGUACGGAACGAAACGCGCCGGGUUAAUACCCUUGCGUAAUGACGGUACCGUAAGAAUAAGCACCGGCUAACUACGUGCCAGCAGCCGCAGUAACAC
rnacentral:rRNA from 1 species